rnacentral:rRNA from 1 species
GACGAACGCUGGCGGCGUGCCUAACACAUGCAAGUCGAACGAAGUGGCGAACGGGUGAGUAACGCGUAAUCAACCUGCCCUUCAGAGGGGGACAACAGUUGGAAACGACUGCUCAUACCGCAUACUGAAGGAGGGGAUUGCGUCUGAUUAGCCAGUUGGAGGGGUAACGGCCCACCAAGGCGAUGAUCAGUAUGCGGUCUGAGAGGAUGAACGGCCACAUUGGGACUGAGACACGGCCCAGACUCCUACAGGAGGCAGCAGUGGGGAAUCUUCCGGAAUGGACGAAAGGCUGACGGAGCAACGCCGGGUGAGUGAUGACGGCCUUCGGGUUGUAAAGCGCUGUUAAUCGGGACGCGGUACCGGAAUAGAAAGCCACGGCUAACUACGUGCCAGCCGCCGCGGUAAUAC